AGCGGCGGACGGGUGAGUAACGCGUGGGUAACCUGCCUCAUACAGGGGGAUAACAGUUGGAAAUGACUGCUAAUACCGCAUAAGACCACAGCACCGCAUGGUGCGGGGGUAAAAACUCCGGUGGUAUGAGAUGGACCCGCGUCUGAUUAGCUAGUUGGUAAGGUAACGGCUUACCAAGGCGACGAUCAGUAGCCGACCUGAGAGGGUGACCGGCCACAUUGGGACUGAGACACGGCCCAA
rnacentral:rRNA from 1 species